rnacentral:lncRNA from 1 species
UCCUCAAUUUUGUUUCCUACUCCCAUACCACAAGCUGAGGUGGAGUGGUGUUAAUGCCGUCAGCUAUUGAUCGAUAGUCGUUGAUCUCCUCGUCAGGUGUUCGAUUUUGUCAUUUUCGAAUAUACUUCCUAAGGUAGCCUCUGUGGAUCAAGGCCUCGAUCUCGUCCUUGAGUUGGUGGUAUUCCUUAGUGUCGUGGUUGUGAUUAUGGUGGAAG